CCAGGCAGGGCUGGGUUAAGUCUGCGACGUUGCCGUUUCGACGUUCGUCCGCCGGUCCCCCCGCGCCCGGGCCGUGGUCGUGGGGGAUGUCGAUGACGGUUGGGAUGUGUUCUGGCGGACGGGAUUUUCUUUCGAUCGCUUUUCUUUGACUUGUCUACAAUUUUUCACAAUUGUUACUAUUAAUUGUUAUGGGUGAAGCAACAUUUUCAGAGAGGGAGCUUUCUUUUCACCGUAAUCUCGGUAUCGAAAUGGGCUGGCGUGUAUGGAAUCCGGAUCCAUGUCCAGGCUUCGACGUUUUCUAAACGAAACUUUGGAUCUUCCUUCACUUCACUGCUCAAGAGAAGAUUAUGUAUCACAUAAAUGAGGAUGAAGGUGAAAAUUUCCAGUGGUUCAGUCACUUAAUGUGCCACAUUUCUGUACAACUUGUGGUUGACACACCAUGGAAGCAUUACGAGGAUUUCUGUUGGAUCUAACACCGAGUUGAGCGUUCAACGUCCGGGGCUUAACAUUUUCAAUUGAAGGAGUUGCCGAGAAUUGCCCUAAACAUCACGGUCAUGUGCUGUUAUUGUUUUUUGUUUCUCUGAUAGAGAUAAAUGAAGCCUAUACUGGAGUAAGCACUCUUGCAAACAGAGUGAAAGAGUCAUACAUUUGUUUUCUUAAAUCUAUUGUGUCUAGAACAGGGAACAGAAAUUCUGACUUGUGCAUAAUUGUGAAUUGCUUGAGGGGCAGUAUGAAAUUGUUUUACUUAAUUGACGUAAGUGUUUCAUCAAAUUUUGUCACUGAAAGUGUGAUGGGGUAUUAUUUUGUAAAACGCCUUGGCCCAAUUUUAAGAAUUUGGAAAAAAUAGUUACGUUUGUUUGUACAUGGCUUCCAGUUUAUUUUAAUGGAAAGGUUUUGCUCUUCUUGAAUGUUUUAAUAUGCUAUAGUGCUUUAAAUGAGGUGUUGUAUUCCAAGAUAUCUUGAAAAUCCUGUUUCAUUCUCAUUUCAGUUAUUGCCCUUGUUCAGCCUUUUUUUGCCAAAUUUCAUUAGUGAGCCAGUUGAACCUUUUGAAACAAUCAGUCUUUAACAGACUAUUUACUAUAUGUGUUGAAAAUGUUAACUCAGAUUUGAAGAACCCCAUACACUACCAUAUUAGGACAUCAUGGAUUAAUAUUUCAUCUUUGUAUUUGAAGGUUCUAUAUAGAACCAUCGAUAGAGAAUUUCCUCAUAGUAAUUAGGUCCAGGGAAUUCAUUACGUAGUUACGGUAUGCAAAUGCAGCAAACCAUACUUAUUGUUGCAUACAUCACUCAUCUAGUGUACUAUGUAUUCUUUCUCCUAGAUUUAUUUUCAGAUGUACUGUUAGACUAGAAAUCAGAUUGUGCAACCAAUAUGGCUUCCUUCUCUUAUACAAUAGUACUUUGGUAUAUUUGUGUGUUGUAAAUUUAAAAAAACAAAAAAUACAUGAGCAAUUGAAAUAAUUA